GGACAUGGUGGCUGUAAGGGGACACGGGAGCUAUUAAGGGAUACCUGGGGCUCUUUGGGGACAUCGGGGCUCUGAGGGGACACUAGGCUUUGAGGGGGCCAUGUGGCUCCGAGGGUGCUCUGAGGGGCCACAGGAGGCUCUGAGGGGACUCUGGGGCAGUGAAGGGACUCUGGUGCUCUAGGCAGUUCCACAGCCCGUGGGCUCUCCCCGCUGGGCUGGGCAGGUCAGGCCACCCUGGGCCAGAGCCAGGGAAGGAGCCUUGGGGGUCCCCUCCUGCCAUGCCCCCAGCACUGCCUUCCAGGCCCAAUGUUUGCUCCUUACUUCAGCAAGGACACCAGAACGCUGCUUAGAAACAGCCUUGGGACUGUGGGACAGGAGCUCACUGAUGGGUGUGGGAGUUAAUGUGGGGCACAGGGCUGGGAUGAGUGCUGUAUUCAGUGUUUGCAUCUGUGUGUCCCAUCCCCUGUGUACAUUCUACACCCAUAAACUCAAUCAGACACCAAUGUAUUUCUAUAAAAGAGGACUUUUCCUUUCAGGUGGAACAGGGCUGUGCUGAACUGCCUCACUUCACUGCCACCCCCCUGCACAGCCUCUUCAGUUCCACUUAUUCCCACAUCCCAUGCAGCAUAUCUGACCGGUACCAAAGCCAGGUUUAAGAGUCCAGUGUUUCCUGGAUCCUGUGGAGCCCUUCCUGGAAAUCAGCCUGGCCUUUGCCACUUCCCCUCUGCUGCUGGGAGGGUCAGGGACCUGCUGCCUGUGUCCUGCUGCAGAGUCUGCCCUGAGCACUUGCCAGCCCAGUAGUUCACCAGCAGAAUUCCCACUUCUGAUUCAUUUGCAAAAAUACACUGCUGUUAAUCCUUA